GACGAACCGAGCGAACGUUGUUCGGAAUCACUGGGCUUAAAGGGCGCGUAGGCGGGCUGCCGCGUCCGGGGUGAAAUCCUCCGGCUCAACCGGGGAAGGGCCUCGGAUACGGGCGGCCUGGAGUGGGGUGAGGGGCGUGCGGAACUGUGGGUGGAGCGGUGAAAUGCGUUGAGAUCCACAGGAACUCCGGUGGCGAAGGCGGCACGCUGGACCCUUUCUGACGCUGAGGCGCGAAAGCCAGGGGAGCAAACGGG
rnacentral:rRNA from 1 species